UAUAGAAAUGGAGAACUAAUUCCCCUCACUUGAGUUAGAAGCUCAAGAAUCAAUUUCUA
rnacentral:tRNA from 1 species